rnacentral:piRNA from 1 species
UCAGGAGACAUGGUUAACUCAAGUCCUCGU